rnacentral:rRNA from 1 species
UACGAAGGGGGCUAGCGUUGCUCGGAAUCACUGGGCGUAAAGGGUGCGUAGGUGGGCAAGUAAGUCAGUGGUGAAAUCUCCGGGCUUAACCCGGAAACUGCCAUUGAUACUAUUUGUCUUGAAUACUGUGGAGGUCAGCGGAAUAUGUCAUGUAGCGGUGAAAUGCUUAGAUAUGACAUAGAACACCAAUUGCGAAGGCAGCUGGCUACACAAAUAUUGACACUGAGGCACGAAAGCGUGGGGAUCAAACAGG